GAUGAACGCUGGCGGCGUGCCUAAUACAUGCAAGUCGAGCGAACGGACGAGAAGCUUGCUUCUCUGAUGUUAGCGGCGGACGGGUGAGUAACACGUGGAUAACCUACCUAUAAGACUGGUAUAACUUCGGGAAACCGGAGCUAAUACCGGAUAAUAUUUUGAACCGCAUGGUUCAAAAGUGAAAGACGGUCUUGCUGUCACUUAUAGAUGUAUCCGCGCUGCAUUAGCUAGUUGGUAAGGUAACGGCUUACCAAGGCAACGAUGCAUAGCCGACCUGAGAGGGUGAUCGGACACACUGGAACUGAGACACGGUCCAGACUCCUACGGGAGGCAGCAGUAGGGAAUCUUCCGCAAUGGGCGAAAGCCUGACGGAGCAACGCCGCGUGAGUGAUGAAGGUCUUCGGAUCGUAAAACUCUGUUAUUAGGGAAGAACAUAUGUGUAAGUAACUGUGCACAUCUUGACGGUACCUAAUCAGAAAGCCACGGCUAACUACGUG
rnacentral:rRNA from 1 species